ACUCAAAGGAAUAGACGGGGGCCCGCACAAGCGGCGGAGCGUGCGGUUUAAUUCGACGCAACGCGCAGAACCUUACCAGGGCUUGACAUGGACCUGCACGGCUCGGAAACGGGUCAGCCUUCGAGGGUGGUUCACAGGUGCUGCAUGGCUGUCGUCAGCUCGUGCCGUGAGGUGUUGGGUUAAGUCCCGCAACGAGCGCAACCCCCGUGGGUAGUUGCCGAUGUUUCUACCCAGACUGCCGCGUGCAACGCGGAGGAAGGCGGGGAUGACGUCAAGUCAGCAUGGCCCGUACGUCCUGGGCGACACGCACGCUACAAUGGCCGGGACAGCGGGUAGCCAAGCCGCGAGGCGGAGCGAAUCCCCCAAACCCGGUCUCAGUUGGGAUCGCGGGCUGCAACUCGCCCGCGUGAACGUGGAGUCGCUAGUAACCGCGGGUCAGCACUACCGCGGUGAAUACGUUCCCGGGCCUUGUACACACCGCCCGU
rnacentral:rRNA from 1 species